CUGGGUGACGAGCGGCGGACGGGUGAGUAAUGUCUGGGAAACUGCCUGAUGGAGGGGGAUAACUACUGGAAACGGUAGCUAAUACCGCAUAACGUCGCAAGACCAAAGAGGGGGACCUUCGGGCCUCUUGCCAUCAGAUGUGCCCAGAUGGGAUUAGCUAGUAGGUGGGGUAACGGCUCACCUAGGCGACGAUCCCUAGCUGGUCUGAGAGGAUGACCAGCCACACUGGAACUGAGACACGGUCCAGACUCCUACGGGAGGCAGCAGUGGGGAAUAUUGCACAAUGGGCGCAAGCCUGAUGCAGCCAUGCCGCGUGUAUGAAGAAGGCCUUCGGGUUGUAAAGUACUUUCAGCGGGGAGGAAGGCGAUAAGGUUAAUAACCUUGUCGAUUGACGUUACCCGCAGAAGAAGCACCGGCUAACUCCGUGCCAGCAGCCGCGGUAAUACGGAGGGUGCAAGCGUUAAUCGGAAUUACUGGGCGUAAAGCGCACGCAGGCGGUCUGUCAAGUCGGAUGUGAAAUCCCCGGGCUCAACCUGGGAACUGCAUUCGAAACUGGCAGGCUAGAGUCUUGUAGAGGGGGGUAGAAUUCCAGGUGUAGCGGUGAAAUGCGUAGAGAUCUGGAGGAAUACCGGUGGCGAAGGCGGCCCCCUGGACAAAGACUGACGCUCAGGUGCGAAAGCGUGGGGAGCA
rnacentral:rRNA from 1 species